GAAGAGUGUCGUAGAGAAGUCAUACUUCGUUUGGGUCGAUGGGGUCGCAGGUUCGACUCCUGCCUCACCA
rnacentral:tRNA from 1 species